CCUACGGGUGGCUGCAGUGGGGAAUAUUGCACAAUGGGGGAAACCCUGAUGCAGCGACUCCGCGUGAGUGAAGAAGGAUUUCGGUAUGUAAAGCUCUAUCAGCGGGGAAGAAAAUGACGGUACCUGAUUAAAAAGCCCCGGCUAACUACGUGCCAGCAGCCGCGGUAAUACGUAGGGGGAAAGCGUUAUCCGGAUUUACUGGGGGUAAAGGGAGCGUAGACGGCAGCACAAGCCUGGAGUGAAAUGCCGGGGCUUAACCCCGGAAAUGCUUUGGAAACUGUGCAGCGAGAGUGCAGGAGAGGUAAGUGGAAUUCCUAGUGUAGCGGUGAAAUGCGUAGAUAUUAGGAGGAACACCAGUGGCGAAGGCGGCUUACUGGACGGUAACUGACGUUGAGGCUCGAAAGCGUGGGGAGCAAACAGGAUUAGAUACCCGUGUAGUC
rnacentral:rRNA from 1 species